AGUGAACGCUGGCGGUAGGCCUAACACAUGCAAGUCGAACGGCAGCACAGGAGAGCUUGCUCUCUGGGUGGCGAGUGGCGGACGGGUGGGGAAUACAUCGGAAUCUACUCUGUCGUGGGGGAUAACGUAGGGAAACUUACGCUAAUACCGCAUACGACCUACGGGUGAAAGCAGGGGACCUUCGGGCCUUGCGCGAUUGAAUGAGCCGAUGUCGGAUUAGCUAGUUGGCGGGGUAAAGGCCCACCAAGGCGACGAUCCGUAGCUGGUCUGAGAGGGUGGUCAGCCAGCCUGGAACUGAGACACGGUCCAGACUCCUACGGGAGGCAGCAGUGGGGAAUAUUGGACAAUGGGCGCAAGCCUGAUCCAGCCAUACCGCGUGGGUGAAGAAGGCCUUCGGGUUGUAAAGCCCUUUUGUUGGGAAAGAAAUCCAGCUGGCUAAUACCCGGUUGGGAUGACGGUACCCAAAGAAUAAGCACCGGCUAACUUCGUGCCAGCCGCCGCGGUAA
rnacentral:rRNA from 1 species